rnacentral:ncRNA from 2 species
AAAUUUUGUAUGGGGUGCUAUUCCGUGUUUCACGGAUUGGCUGAGAAAAUACCCGAUGAACCUGAUCCGGAUAAUGCCGGCGUAGGAAUUAAAAAUUUAACGUUUA